rnacentral:piRNA from 1 species
UUAUGGUUCCUGAAGGUUAGUCUGCGAUGGU